GCCGGGUGCAGUGGCUUAUACCUGUAAUCCCAGCACUUUGGGAGGCUGAGGCGGGAGGAUCGCUUGAGCCCAGGAGUUCAAGACCAGCCUGGGCAACACAGUGAGAUCCUGUCUCUA
ensembl:misc_RNA Metazoa_SRP Metazoan signal recognition particle RNA